GACGAACGCUGACGGCGUGCUUAACACAUGCAAGUCGAGCGGUAAGGCCCUUUCGGGGGUACACGAGCGGCGAACGGGUGAGUAACACGUGGGUGACCUGCCCUUAGCUCUGGGAUAAGCCUGGGAAACUGGGUCUAAUACCGGAUAUGACUCCAUGACGCAUGUUGUGGGGUGGAAAGCCUUGUGCGGCUAGGGAUGGGCCCGCGGCCUAUCAGCUUGUUGGUGGGGUGAUGGCCUACCAAGGCGACGACGGGUAGCCGGCCUGAGAGGGCGACCGGCCACACUGGGACUGAGACACGGCCCAGACUCCUACGGGAGGCAGCAGUGGGGAAUCUUGCGCAAUGGGCGAAAGCCUGACGCAGCGACGCCGCGUGGGGAUGACGGCCU
rnacentral:rRNA from 1 species